ACCCCUUCGUGCACGUUCUCAAAGCUCGUGACCCAGAGCAAGCUUCUGUUUGUUGUUAUCCUGCGGUAGCUACUGGAGCUAGCUGACUAGCUAAUGGCUCGCUCUCGCACAUCUGUGUUUGCGCUCGUGCAUGAUUGCUAUGUACUUGGAAUGGAUGGAGUUGGAGUCAUCGUUGAAGGAGAGAGGGACGGUAUGGAAGCGGAUACCACAAAUUGGCAUGGUUUGAGGUGCUUCAUCUGUGGUGGCCCUGGGACUGAGAUGCAAAAACUCUCAGAAAGAUGGAGAUGACCCCAAGCUGAAGUACCAUUUGGAUUGCAGAAACGAGUUGUACCAUCGUUCGAGAAGUGUAUCCAUUGACAACAUGCUCUGGACCAACGAUCAUGCAGAAUGAAAAGACGCAACGUACUGUCUGGGCCAAGUACUUCAAGUGCUGGCAGCUCCACAUCCCAAACCCCAUCAGCACACUUGGUCUACCUAGAUGUUUGUAUCCUCUGCAAUAAGGGCAUCAAUAGUGUAAUGCUUGAAAAAUACCCGGACAGAGGCCGGAUGUUGUAUCGUGCACCUGACAAUCGACGAACAAAGGAUGCAAU
ensembl:lncRNA